rnacentral:rRNA from 1 species
CAGGCCUAACACAUGCAAGUCGAACGAAGGCUUCGGCCUUAGUGGCGCACGGGUGCGUAACGCGUGGGAAUCUGCCCUUUGGUUCGGAAAAACAGCGGGAAACUGCUGCUAAUACCGGAUGAUGACGAAAGUCCAAAGAUUUAUCGCCAGAGGAUGAGCCCGCGUCGGAUUAGCUAGUUGGUGGGGUGAUGGCCUACCAAGGCGACGACGGGUAGCCGGCCUGAGAGGGUGACCGGCCACACUGGGACUGAGACACGGCCCAGACUCCUACGGGAGGCAGCAGUGGGGAAUAUUGGACAAUGGGCGCAAGCCUGAUCCAGCCAUGCCGCGUGAGUGAUGACGGCCUUAGGGUUGUAAAGCUCUUUCGCACGCGACGAUAAUGACGGUAUCGUGAGAAGAAGCCCCGGCUAUCAUGGUGCCAGCAGCCGCGGUCAA